rnacentral:rRNA from 1 species
AUUGAACGCUGGCGGAAUGCUUUACACAUGCAAGUCGAACGGCAGCACGGACUUCGGUCUGGUGGCGAGUGGCGAACGGGUGAGUAAUAUAUCGGAACGUGCCCAGUCGUGGGGGAUAACGUAGCGAAAGCUACGCUAAUACCGCAUACGAUCUACGGAUGAAAGCGGGGGAUCGCAAGACCUCGCGCGAUUGGAGCGGCCGAUAUCAGAUUAGGUAGUUGGUGAGGUAAAGGCUCACCAAGCCGACGAUCUGUAGCUGGUCUGAGAGGACGAACAGCCACACUGGGACUGAGACACGGCCCAGACUCCUACGGGAGGCAGCAGUGGGGAAUUUUGGACAAUGGACGCAAGUCUGAUUCAGCCAUUCCGCGUGCAGGACGAAGGCCUUCGGGUUGUAAACUGCUUUUGUACAGAACGAAAAGGUCUCUAUUAAUACUAGGGGCUCAUGACGGUACUGUAAGAAUAAGCACCGGCUAACUACGUGCCAGCCGCCGCUGUAA